UCAUUGUUGCACUAUAUGCUAAAUAAUUUGGAUGUAAAUUUAAAAACAAAAUUAAAAAUUUUUAAAAGAGUACUAUAGAUAAAAAGAGUCAUGCAUAAUAAUAUUGACAAUGGAAAGCAAACAUGAAUUGAUUUUUUAAAAUUUUAUUGAUUUAAGUAACCUCUACAUCCAGUGUGGACCUUGAAUUCAUAACCCCAAGAUUGGGAGUUGCAUUCUCCCUGAACUGAGCCCCCCAAGUGCCCCCAUGAAUUGAUAUUUUAAUUAGAAUUUUGUUUUGCUUACGUUUUGGAUUAAGAAAGAGAUGUGGUCAGUUAAUGAUUCUAUUCUGUUGUUUUAUUGCAAACAAGACUGAGAAAGGGAACAAGUAUUUCCACACUGGAUUCUUCUUGAAUGAAUUCAAGCGAAGUUUCAUCAAAAUGAAAAACUGCCAAGUAGCUUUGCAUUUGGUAAAGGUGUGAGAUUGCAUCCACAGAGGUGCUGAUUUGCUCCUCCUCCAGAAGGACCAGCCCUUUGAAUGUGCAGUGCUGGCCUCAGGGGGAGUGUCUGCACAUGUCUGUUAAGUCCCAGGGACUUGAGGGGUUUUGUCAGAAGCUUAUACUAAACACUAUUUUUUCCCACCGGAUUCUAGGUAGAGAAACUAUGACAUCCAGUGUAGAUGACUAGAUCAUUUCUGAAAAGUUUUUAAAAAUAUUUAUUUAUUUUUGAAAGAGAGAGAACAUGAGUUGUAGAGGAGCAGAGAGAGGGAGACACAGAAUAUGAAGCAGGCUCCAAGCUCCGAGCUGUUGGCACAGAGCCCGACACAGGGCUCGAACCCACGAACCAUAAGGUCAUGAUCUGAGCCAAAGUCAGAUACUUAAACCGACUGAGCCACCCAGGCACCCCAUAGAUCAUUUCUAACUGACAGUCUACAAGCCUAACAUUGUGAGCCAGCUCCCAGCUGUGCAGCUCUUCUCGACAUUUCCUUCUGUGAAGAACCCUGUGUUCUCGUGUUUGCCCUGUAGUGUUCUUGACACUUGUGACUUGCCAGAAUCUUUACCCUACCUUGCAGCUCUGUUUUUGGUGGGCGCCUUUAUCUCCUCAGGCCUCAAGGUCCUCCUCUCCAGAUGAGGGAUAGGAUCUAUGACCUAUUCCAACCUCUUCUUCCAUCUCUAGAAUAUUCAGUACAUUAAGAGAAGGACUGAGUUAAGAACCAAUGCCUUUAAAGAAACUGGGAAGUUUCUCUCAUCUGAGGGCUAAGGGGCACUUGGCAAUCACUUAUUGUUGUCUCAAAAUUUUGUGAACUUUCCUUAAACAUACACUUAUGUUCUAGCCUUUCUUCUAGCUAUUGACUCCAGAGAAAUAAAAACAUGUCCAAAGACUUGCACAUGAAUCUUUAGGUUAAUAUUAUCUAUUCACUUUUUUAUUGAAGUACAGUUAACACAACUACAUUACUUUCAGUUGUACAACAUAGUGAUUCAACAAGUCUGUACGUCAAUGCUGUGCUCACCCCAAGUGUAUCCAGCAUAUGUCACCACGCCAUUACAGUAUCAUCGACUACAUUCCCUAUGCUGUGCCAUUUGCUCUCGUGACUUAUUUCAUAGCUGGAAGCCUGUAUCUCCCACUUCCCUUCAUCCAUUUUCUUCAUCCCUCACCCUCACCUUCUGGCUACUACUCAGUUUAUUCUGUUUUUAUGGGUUUGUUUCUGCUUUUUGUUCAUUUGUGUUUUAGAGUCCAUAUAUAAGUGAAAUCAUACAGUAUUUUACUUUGACUUAUUUCAUUUAGUAUAAUACCCCCGAGGUCCGUCCAUGUUGUCUCAAAUGGCAAGAUCUCAUCCUUUGUUAUGGCUGCAUAAUAUUCUAUUGCGUGUAUGUGAAUGAGUGUGUGUGUGUGUGUGUGUGUGUGUGUGUGCCAUAUCUUUAUCCAUUCAUCUAUUGGUGGACACUUGGGUUGCUUCCAUGUGGGUUGGAUAUAGUAAAUGUUGCAAUGAUAGGGUGCAUAUAUCUUUUCAGAUUAGUGUUAUUGUAGUCUUUGGGUAAAUACCUCAGUGGAAUUACUGGAUCAUGGGUAUUUCCAUUUUUAAUUUCUUGAGGAACCUCCAUACCGUCUUCCACAGUGGCUGCACCAACUUACAUUCCCACCAACAGUGCACAGGGGUUCCUUUUCCUCCUCUUUCUUGCCAACACUUGCUGUUUCUUGUGUUUUUGAUUUUAGCCAUUCUGAAAGUGUGAAGUGAUAACAUAUUAGGGUUUUCGUUUGUAUUUCCUUGAUGAUUACUGAUGUUGGACAUGUUUUUCAUGUGUCUGUUGGCCAUCUGUAUAUCUUCUUUAGAAAAAUGUGUAUUCAGGUCCUUUGCCCAUUUUUAAUUGAAUUAUUUGGGGCAAGGGGGUUAGUGUUGAGUUGUGUAAGUUCUUUAUAUAUUUUGGAUGUUAAUUCUUUAUCAGAUAUGUCAUUUGCAAAUAUUUUCUCCCAUUCAGUAUGUUAUGUUUUCAUUUUGUUGAUGGUUUCCUUCGCUGAACUUGCGCAUGAAUAUUUACUCACAAUAGCCCCAAACUGGAAACAACCUAAAUGCCCAUUAACAGAUGAAUGAAUAAACAACAUGUAGUGUAUCCAUACAAUAUACUACUAUUUCGCAAUAAAAAGGAACAAACUACUGAUACAUGCAACAUGAAUGAAUCUCAUUCUGCUGAAUGAAAGAAGCCAGACACAAGAAUACAGGCUGUAUGAGUCCAUUUAUGUAAAAUUCUAGAGAAUGCAAACUAUUAUAGUGACAAAAAGCAUUUCACUUGCUGCCUGUGGACUGCAGAAGACAAGGGCUCUUUUGGUGGUGAACGAGAUGUUCUGUGCUGUGACUAGCAUGGUAGUUUCAUGGGUAUCCACAACUGCCAACAUUCAUCAAAUUGCACACUUUAAACGGACAGAACUUAUAUGUAAAGCAUUUCUCGAGGGUACUGAGGAAAAAUUUUUGUAAGCUCUUGACUGUUAAAUCUGAGGCUUGAAGAAAAUACUGGGCAACGGAGAAGUUUUGCGGGGCUAUGACAUCACAAAAGGGUUAAUAAUCUUAAACAUUCCGGAAAGCCCUUUAAUUUCUGGGCAGCGCAUAUGAAUUUGUCGUGCAAAAAUUUUACCUUCUGGUUUCCAGUGAGCCUCAGACAAAGGACUGCCUUGAGGACUUAGCAGGCCCCUGGGCUGGAUGAGCCAGCCUGCUCUUUCUCCAGCCUCGUGCAGAUUCCUGAGAGCCAGCUGGCUCAGCAAACAAAGGCCAGGUCUCCUGUCUUUUUAGCAUGUCAGGCUUCUUAAUACCGAUUUUCCUUCCCUCUGCCUGAGGUGGUAUGUGUUCACCUGGGGAGAUUCCGUUCCACUUUUUUGAAACUAGAAAGCUGUAGGCCACAUUCUUCCUUUAUAGGCCACCUGGAGCGACCUAUUUUAGUUGGCUCCACUUACAGAGUCACAGGAUGUGAGAAAUCACAGGAUGUUAGAAAGAACUUGAGAGAUCGUCCUGGCCAACAUCCCAAAGGAGGAAACGGAAGUCCAGAGAAGAUUCCCCAGAAUAGAAGUUGCAGAAUUUGGCAGAAUGAUUAGGGUGGAAACUUCAGGAAGAAGACUUCGGGUUGUUAGAGAGAAGUUCCCCACUCCCUAAGCUGAAGAAGAAGCAUCCGCACGCCCUGCUUCCACCCGGGGACUCCCAGAUUGCCACACAAUAACACCUCCCAGAGGUGUCGGCAGUGGUGAGACCCGCCCUUCCCAGAGAUACUGUUUUCUGUGCCACUUUGUCUUGCCCUGGUGGUCACGCUGUGUUGUGGCUGCAGCGAAAACCUUUUGUGUGUCAGACAUGAUGGGCAGCGUGGACAAGUCACACUGGUGCCCAACACCUCCCACCACUGAGCACUGUGAGGGCAGAGACUUGGUCUUCUUUGCAACCUAUCUCUACCCCCUCACGUUGAGGAUACCUGUAUACCCACAAGGACAUACAUCAGUGUGCAGCAAAUCUUGCUGAAUGACAGACAAAGUGACAUGUUGAGCAAGUGGAUGAUGAAAGUUUCUGACCUUAAAUGUGGACUAAUCAGGUAAGUGUACUAGUGAUACAAGAAAUCACGGAAGACGCUGUGGGAGAAGAACUGAAACUUCUUCUAGAAAAUCCAUUAAUGACCAGAAUAGAUCUCUGGCUUUUUUCAUGUGUGUUAGAUAACAACCAUGGAGAAUUGAGAUUCCUCCAUUGUGGCUUCUGCCCUGCCUGCUCCACCAAAAUCGCUCUCUCCAAGCUAACCGGGGACCUUCAGCUUGCCACACCGGGGGGCAUUUCUGCCUCUUCUUACUGGCACGCUCCUCACGGGACCAGCUGAGCAUCCGUCUCUUGUACAUGAAAGAAAAUCCAACUGAUUGUAGCGAGAAGAGUAAGUUUAUUGUAAUGUUUUUCAUUUUUAAAAGACUAUUUUUUUUUCAUGGUUAUUUAUUUUGAGACAGAGAAAAAGCAUGAGCAGAAGACAGGCAGAGAGAGAGAGAGGGAGAGAGAGAAUCCCAAGCAGGCUCCAGGCUCCAAGCUGCCAGCGCAGAGCCCAACGCGGAGCUCAAACUCAAGUACCGUGAGAUCGUGAUCUGAGCUAAAAUCAAGAGUUGGAUGUUUAAUCAACUGAGCCACCCAGCCUCCCCUCUUGUACUGUUUUUUUAAAUAAUUUUCUCCUCUCUGCUUUUUUCUACUCCCCAACGUCAGUCAGAUAUUGGAUUAGCUGAAUUAACCCUAACUAUAUUCUCUGUUGUUCAUCUCUUUAGCUGUUUAUUUGGCUCAAUGAGUUCCUGGCCUCUAGCUUUUAAACCUUGCAUUGAAUUUGUCAUAUCACCUGUCACGGUUUUUGUUUGUGUUGUUCGUUGUUCUCAGAAUAUUCCUUUUUAUUGCAACACAUUCUUAUUUCAUGGGUGUAGUAUUUCACCUUUUCCCGAUAGAAGUAACUUUUUCCCCCUAGUCUCUGAAUUGUCUAUUUUCCAAAAGUUACUUUCCUUAGUUUGUUUUGGUCUCUCUCCAUUGUGUGGAGAUGUUCUGAAACUGCCUCUCCAAUUCUAAGCAGUGUGUUCACAUUCUACAGCGAAACCCUGGGGCGCUGGGUGAGGGAUGUGGGGUGGAGCAGGCUGGCUGGUGGCUUUGGGGGGACAUUGACCGGUCGGAGGCCAGCUUUGUCAUCUGGUGACCCUCCUCCCAUCCCCACAUACAGAUAUCAACAUGGGGUGGUCUUUUCUCUGCAGCCUUUUAGUUCCUCCAGAGAAGGAUCUUCCAGAUGCCUCUGGCGGCCAUAGAUGGCCAGCUGAGGCCCAUCUCCGAACCAGGCAGGAGAAAGCAGCCAGGGGCCACCUGGUUCUGAAGGAUUGUAUUCCCACAGAACAUCAGAAAAUAGAAAUUCUGCAUUUUUCAGUGACACCCAAUUUGCUCUACAAAAAGUAAAGCAUGAAGCUCCUCUAGUCAGAGUUACUGCUUCAUUUGUCGUGGAUGACCACAUCGGAAUCUACAGGGUGACUUGAAUCUUCAGGCACAAAGUGAACAUCCUGUUUCAGAAAACUCUGUUGCACACUCAUCACCUGGUAAAGUCACUAGACUUCCACAAUAAACAAAGACUGAAUAUUCAGGCAGAAGAUGGGUUGAGGGAAGGGAGACCUCACGCCUCUCGACAGCAACAACAUUCAAUGUUUCCAGAAGUUUGACAGAGAGAAAAUAUGGCACUGUGACCUAGACAAACUGUUUCUGACUUAGAAAGGAAAUGGACAAGAAUUCCCAAAAUAUGCCAGAACACAGUAUGAUGACCAUGAAACGUUCCGGAAGUAGUACCUGCAUGAACGUUAACUAACUCCAAGAAAAAUCAAAAUAAAGUCAGGAAUAGAAAAGUUGUGAUAAUCUAUUUUGGUAUUGAUUUUUUUUUUCACGUUUUCCUGUAUUGCUUUAAUCUUUUAUAAUGAUGAUGCAUUAUCUCUUUAUAAACACAAUGAGGUUUCUUUUUAAAAACGUAUAGGAAUGGUAGAGAAGCACUUUUGCAAGCCAGUAAUUAAAACUGCUCAUAAUCGAAGGAUUUUUAAAG